rnacentral:lncRNA from 1 species
GCCGCCAACAGACCGCCGAACGGACAGAGUUUCCCCUGUACGUCCAAGGCGUCGCAAUCAAUACAGUAAGAAGGUUCCAACCAGGAACUGAUAUCAAUCACGAUUGCAUAAGUAUCAAUAACAUAAAACUAACUAUUACAAGCAUUCACAUACAUGCUUUUACAUUUGUUUUCACCUUUACAAUUAACUUCCAAAAUACAAUCAAGUUAUUACAU